rnacentral:lncRNA from 1 species
AUGCCAGUAUUCAUGGGCUUCCCUGGUGGCUCAGCUGGUAAAGAACCCAUCUGCAGCAUGGGAGACCUGGGUUUGAUCCCUGGAUUGGGAGGAUCCCCUGAAGAUGGGAACAGCUACCCACUCCAGUAUUCUGGCCUGGAGAAUUCCAUGGACUGUACAGUCUAUGGGGUCGCAGAGUCGGACACAACAGAGCAACUAUCACUUUCACUAAUAAAUUACUUACCAUCAGGAUUGGUAAACGUUACGUUUUCUAAUAACUUUGGGGAAGGAAAACUUAUUUAAAAUUGCCUUUCAAGUACAGGUAAAGAUAUAAUUGAAAACCAAUUUGGAUAACCUACGAUUGAAUUUCCUGAGCCUGUGAGUCUUAUGUUUGACACUAAAUUCUAAGGUACAAUUUUAAUAGAAUAAAUGUGACACUAUUGUUGGGACAAAAGAAAAGGGCAAAGUAAAGAUAACUAAAGAACCGCUGGAGAAGGGACAGGCUGCUGCUGCUGCUAAGUCCCUUCAGUCGUGUCCGACUCUGUGCGAACCCAUAGACGGCAGCCCCCCAGGCUCCCCUGUCCCCUGGAUUCUCCAGGCAAGAACACUGGAGUGGGUUGACAUUUCCUUCUCCAAGGGAUAGGCUACCCAUGCUGAUAUUUUGGGGCUUCCCUUGUGGCUCAGCUGAUAAUCUGCCUGCAAUGUGGGAGACCUGAGUUUGAUCCCUGGGUUGGAAAGAUCCCCUACAGAAGGGAAAGGCUACCCACUCCAGUAUUCUGGCCUAGAGAAUUCCAUGAACUGUAUAGUCCAUGGGGUCACAAAGAGUCAGACAUGACAGAGUGACCUUCACUUUCAUAAAUAGGCUGAAAAAGGAGAGACAACUGAGUGCGGGUCAGGCUUUAGAUGUGACUUUUGUUUUCUCUACUUUGGGCAACGGAGGCUGGAUGAGUGCUCAGUUUUUGUAAAAGCAGCCCUGGGGGAUUCUGGGGGCAUUCCCUGGCCGUCCAGUGGUUGAGACUCCGUGCUUCCAAUGCAGGGGACAUGAGUUCAAGCUGUGG